CUUGCUAUGCAUGUGCUAACAGUCAAAGGAAUCACUUUCAUAUUUCGAACAAAUGGUGUGCAUCUAAGUACCUCUCAAUGGGGCUGCAGCUAGCAUUAAUAUUGAAGUGGUACCAUGCUGACGUUUAGACCUUGUAUUAGUCAGAGUCAUUUCCUGAUGCUGACGAUCGAGCUGAUAGACUGACUGUACAUAGUUCUUCAUCUGAGACUGUUCACGUUUUCAUCUAGACUGGAGUCUCACCAGCGGGGCUUCUGGCGCCGUCCUGGCUCUGAUGUUCGGCAUCAUUACUCCGAAAAACCCUGCACACGCCAGCCUGGUGCCCUUGGGCAAGGGCUUCUUCAUACCCCACCUCCAAAACGAGGGUAAUAAUGGAGCUUGACUUGUAAGGGCUGAAAAAAAGAGUAUUUGUGAAGCAUUUAGAACAUGACUGCACACAGUAAGCAUUAUGUUAACAUGUGUAAAAUAAAACAAGUCGAAGAUAAGUAA